UACAGAGUUUGCGAGUGUUAAUCGGAUUUACUGGGCGUAAAGCGUGCGUAGGCGGCUUUUUAAGUCGUAUGUGAAAUCCCCGAGCUUAACUUGGGAAUUGCAUUCGAUACUGGGGAGCUAGAGUAUGGGAGAGGAUGGUAGGAUUCCAGGUGUAGCGGUGAAAUGCGUAGAGAUCUGGAGGAAUACCGAUGGCGAAGGCAGGCAUCUGGCCUAAUACUGACGCAGAGGUACGAAAGCAUGGGGAGCAAACAGG
rnacentral:misc_RNA from 1 species